rnacentral:rRNA from 1 species
AUUGAACGCUGGCGGCAGGCCUAACACAUGCAAGUCGAGCGAGUGGCGGACGGGUGAGUAAUGUCUGGGAAACUGCCUGAUGGAGGGGGAUAACUACUGGAAACGGUAGCUAAUACCGCAUACCAUCAGAUGUGCCCAGAUGGGAUUAGCUAGUAGGUGGGGUAAAGGCUCACCUAGGCGACGAUCCCUAGCUGGUCUGAGAGGAUGACCAGCCACACUGGAACUAAGACACGGUCCAGACUCCGACGGGAGGCAGCAGUGGGGAAUAUUGCACAAUGGGCGCAAGCCUGAUGCAGCCAUGCCGCGUGUGUGAAGAAGGCCUUCGGGUUGUAAAGGACUUUCAGCGGGGAGGCGUUACUCGCAGAAGAAGCACCGGCUAACUCCGUGCCAGCCGCCGCGGUAAUUC